GACGAACGCUGGCGGCGCGCCUAACACAUGCAAGUCGAACGAGCGAGAGAGAGCUUGCUUUCUCAAGCGAGUGGCGAACGGGUGAGUAACGCGUGAGGAACCUGCCUCAAAGAGGGGGACAACAGUUGGAAACGACUGCUAAUACCGCAUAAGCCCACAGGUCGGCAUCGACCAGAGGGAAAAGGAGCAAUCCGCUUUGAGAUGGCCUCGCGUCCGAUUAGCUAGUUGGUGAGGUAACGGCCCACCAAGGCAACGAUCGGUAGCCGGACUGAGAGGGUGAACGGCCACAUUGGGACUGAGACACGGCCCAGACUCCUACGGGAGGCAGCAGUGGGGAAUAUUGCACAAUGGGGGAAACCCUGAUGCAGCGACGCCGCGUGGAGGAAGAAGGUCUUCGGAUUGUAAACUCCUGUUGUUGAGGAAGAUAAUGACGGUACUCAACAAGGAAGUGACGGCUAACUACGUG
rnacentral:rRNA from 1 species